UACGUAGGGUGCGAGCGUUAAUCGGAAUUACUGGGCGUAAAGCGUGCGCAGGCGGUUUUGUAAGUCAGAUGUGAAAUCCCCGGGCUUAACCUGGGACUGCGUUUGAAACUACAAGGCUAGAGUGUGGCAGAGGGGGGUGGAAUUCCACGUGUAGCAGUGAAAUGCGUAGAGAUGUGGAGGAACACCGAUGGCGAAGGCAGCCCCUGGGUCAACACUGACGCUCAUGCACGAAGCGUGGGGAGCAAACAGG
rnacentral:rRNA from 1 species